rnacentral:tRNA from 1 species
GGUAUUAUGGCUGAGGCUUAGGCAAUAAAUUGUAAAUUUAUUAACGAAUUAAUUAUUCUUUUACCA